rnacentral:rRNA from 1 species
GAGGAGCCUGCGGCGGAUUAGCUUGUUGGUAAGGUAACGGCUUACCAAGGCGAUGAUCCGUAGCCGGCCUGAGAGGGCGGUCGGCCACACUGACACUGACAUACGGGUCAGACUCCUACGGGAGGCAGCAGUCGGGAAUUUUGGGCAAUGGGCGAAAGCCUGACCCAGCAACGCCGCGUGAAGGAUGAAAUCCCUCGGGAUGUAACCUUCGCAAGAACGGGAAGAAUAAGUAGGGGACAAUACCCCCUAUGAUGACGGUACUGUUUGUAAGCUCCGGCUAACUCCGUGCCAGCAGCCGCGGUAAUACGGGGGGAGCAAGCGUUGUUCGGAUUUACUGGGCGUAAAGGGCGCGUAGGCGGCCACCGCAAGUCGACUGUGAAAUCUCCGGGCUUAACUCGGAAAGGUCAGCCGAUACUGCGGGGCUAGAGUGCAGAAGGGGCAACUGGAAUUCUCGGUGUAGCGGUGAAAUGCGUAGAUAUCGAGAGG